rnacentral:lncRNA from 10 species
CAGAAAUUUAUUUCACACAGUUCUGGCAGACUUGGCUUCUGGUGAGGACAUGCUUCCUGGUUCAUAGUUGCCAUCUUCUCACUGUGUCCUCACAUGGUACAAGGGUGAGGGAGUUCUCCAGGGUCUCUUUUUUAUAAGGGAACCAAUCCCAUUCACCAGGGCUCCACAUUCAUAAACUAAUCAACCUCCCAAAGGUCCUGCCUUCAAAUGGCAUCACCUUGGGGAUUGAGAUUUCAAUAUAUAAAUAUUGGGGGGACAGAAACAUUCAGACCAUUGCAAUCACAGUAAUACAUUACUUGAAUCAGCAGUAAACAUAAUUUAUAUAGUCAUAAGCUCGAUAUUAUAAAAUAAUAAUGCAAUAUUUACUGUGAUCGACUCUAACAUUGUGAUCCAGUUCUAUAGGGAUAAAAGGGUAGAGGAGAUGGCAGAGGUGUGCGUUAACCAGCUAAAUCCUCCAUUACUAUCGUGUUAGUCAAAAAUUUGGUGUGCAAAAGUGAUACAUCAGGAAAUAGCAGUAUAAGCAUGUUAUUUACAAAUAUGGGGUAAAUAGAAGAAAUGGUUUGAGAAAUGGUUUAGUCAAAAUAUUGGUGUGCAAAAUUGAUAAAUGAGGAAACAGCAGUAUAAGCAUGUUAUUUACACAUAUGGGUAAACAGAAGAAAUGGUUUCAGAGCAGGAGGUUGGACAGCAGCUGCUCAUUUUGUAAAAAAAAUUGAUUAAAAAACUAUGUGCAUGAAUUAUCUUAAAAAUUAAAAUUCAUCAUUAAAAGACAUUUAAAAAGUAAGGCAAAUUGUUAGUUUACUAAGUUGUAUUCUGCUUCUUGGUUUGAGGCUUCUCCAAACCUGUGGCCAGGCCACCAUGCAUGUGCCAUAAAAUCAUGACCCUUAAUGAGCUGACCCAGCAGGCAGAGGUGGAAGAACUUGUCAGCAUUUCUGGGCUUGUUUUGCCCUUGUGUUAAACAGAGCCAAGUUCUGAGGAGUUUUAAUUAAGCUCACAUUGGGAAUGAAGGUGGAGCGGGGGGACUGGGAGAAAAGAUGGAAACCCCAUUCCUUGUUACAGCAUGCCUUGUCAUGCAUUAUUGCUUACGUGGCAAUGAUCCGCCCUACUCGGCUAUCACAGGGGAAAUUACCAUAUGGAAAUACGAAACUCGGGAUUACAAAAGGUCCUUGAAUGUUCAAAGUGAUUAGUGUUCAACUUAAUCUUCAGGGAUUAGUAUUUAUGCCACGUUAAUAACUGAAGGGAUAUUCUGUAAAUGACUCAUUUAGUCGUAGCGUACAUUUAUGGUUUUACAUAAAUAAUCCUACAAUUUAUGGUGGUUACAGCAUUAAGUUCAAUUUUUACUUAUGUUUAGAAGCAGCUGUUUUUCUCAGUGUCCCUCAGGUUUAUACGACAAGACUUACAAUGGGUCAUAUGUUGUAUCUGGGAAUGCUACCCUGCCAUUUUAUCCGAGAGACUUGCCAGUGAGCUGGUAUUGCCAACACAUCCCUUUACAGAGUAGCAGUAACUUGGCACAAGGACUCUUCCUGCUGUCCUAGAGAUCUUCCACUGGGAACCUGACCCUUACCUUUGUUCCCAGGAUAUUUACUGAUUCUUAAAUCAAGGUAAUGUUUUCAAGAUGACUGUGAAGAAUUUAUGUUAAUACUGUUGUAAAUGUGAGAAGAUUUAGAAUCUUUUCUAAAAGGAGGAAUAAACAAAUUCACAUUAAUUCUAUUUUUC